rnacentral:rRNA from 1 species
GAUGAACGCUGACAGAAUGCUUAACACAUGCAAGUCAACUUGAACUUCGGUUUGGGUGGCGGACGGGUGAGUAACGCGUAAAGAACUUGCCUCACAGAUAGGGACAACAUUUGGAAACGAAUGCUAAUACCUGAUAUUAUGAUUUUAGGGCAUCCUAGAAUUAUAAAAGCUAUAUGCGCUGUGAGAGAGCUUUGCGUCCCAUUAGCUAGUUGGAGAGGUAACGGCUCACCAAGGCGAUGAUGGGUAGCCGGCCUGAGAGGGUGAUCGGCCACAAGGGGACUGAGACACGGCCCUUACUCCUACGGGAGGCAGCAGUGGGGAAUAUUGGACAAUGGACCAAGAGUCUGAUCCAGCAAUUCUGUGUGCACGAUGAAGUUUUUCGGAAUGUAAAGUGCUUUCAGUUGGGAAGAAAAAAAUGACGGUACCAACAGAAGAAGUGACGGCUAAAUACGUGCCAGCAGCCGCGGUAAUACGUAUGUCACAAGCGUUAUCCGGAUUUAUUGGGCGUAAAGCGCGUCUAGGUGGUUAUAUAAGUCUGAUGUGAAAAUGCAGGGCUCAACUCUGUAUUGCGUUGGAAACUGUGUAACUAGAGUACUGGAGAGGUAAGCGGAACUACAAGUGUAGAGGUGAAAUUCGUAGAUAUUUGUAGGAAUGCCGAUGGGGAAGCCAGCUUACUGGACAGAUACUGACGCUGAAGCGCGAAAGCGUGGGUAUCAAACAUG